AUAGCGUAUAUUAAAGUUGUUGCAGUUAAAAAGCUCGUAGUUGAACUUCAGACCUGGCCGGGCGGUCAGCUUAUCGGCUUGUACUGUCUGGCUGGGUCUUACUUCUUGGUGAGCUGGUGUGCCCUUUAUUGGGUGCGCCGGUGAACCAGGACCUUUACCUUGAGAAAAUUAGAGUGUUCAAAGCAGGCCUAUGCCCGAAUACAUUAGCAUGGAAUAAUAAAAUAGGACGUGCGGUUCUAUUUUGUUGGUUUCUAGAGUCGCCGUAAUGAUUAAUAGGGAUAGUUGGGGGCAUUGGUAUUGAGUCGCUAGAGGUGAAAUUCUUGGAUUGACUCAAGACCAACUAUUG
rnacentral:rRNA from 1 species